UCCCACCUGACCCCAUGCCGAACUCAGAAGUGAAACGCCGUAGCGCCGAUGGUAGUGUGGGGCCUCCCCAUGCGAGAGUAGGGAACUGCUAGGC
rnacentral:rRNA from 4 species